rnacentral:tRNA from 1 species
AGGGUAUAGCUCAGUGGUAGAGUGCGUGCUUAGCAUGCAUAAUAAGGUUCUGGGUUCAAUCCCCAGUACCUCUG